GAUGAAGAACGUAGCGAAAUGCGAUAAGUAAUGUGAAUUGCAGAAUUCAGUGAAUCAUCGAAUCUUUGAACGCAUCUUGCGCUCCUUGGUAUUCCUUGGAGCAUGCCUGUUUGAGUAUCAUGAGCAAAUCUCAAAGUCAAUUCCUUUUGUUGAUUCAAUUGGUUUUGCUUUGGACUUGGAGGCCUUGCAGAUUUCACAGUCUGCUCCUCUUAAAUGCAUUAGCUGGAUCUCAGUAAUUAUGCUUGGUUCCACUCGGCGUGAUAAGUAUCACUCGCUGAGGACACUGUUAAAAAGGUGGCCAGGAAAAUACUGAUUGAACCGCUUCUAACGGUCUAUUAAGUUAGACAAUUACCCUUAAGUUUGAUCUCAAAUCAGGUAGGACUACCCGCUGAACUUAAGCAUAUCAAUAAGCGGGGGA
rnacentral:misc_RNA from 1 species